rnacentral:lncRNA from 10 species
GCUGAGCACAAUGUAGGCGCUCUAAGACUAAUGAAAGAAUCAAAUCAGGUGUGUGAGUGAUUCAGCAAGAAGUUGAAUUAGAGCCAGCUGCUUCGUCUGAGUUGGGUUAAGUCAGAGGGGGAGGGUUGAUAUUGGGUAAUCAGAACAAAACGAGCUGGAGGGCCAGCCACCUGCUUAGUCGGAGUAAGAAUGCCUGCAGAGACCUGGACCAGAGUGGGCAGAAUGGAGGGCCUAAAUAGUGUUCCUUGGAGAGAAAAUUACCCUGGGAAUGAAUAAACAAGAGCAAUGCAAAUGAUAUCCACGACUGUUACAGAUGCUUCGUGGAGGUUCAAAAAGACUACAGAUCAAGGCCAGUGACCUUCUACACAUGGUGGACACUCCAGCCUCUGCUCAAUCUCCAUCCACACUUAAAGGAAAUAGCCAACUCUUGGCCAACCUUCAGGCCUGGGAAGAGGCUCAAGCAGACACUGAAGACGGACUUAAGGCUGAAUAUGGCUGGAAUACUGCCCAAAUGAACUGACCAUUUUCCCAGUACUUUCAUCUUCAGAGAGAAGGCACUAAAAGUGGAUGGAGAGAAGACACAGAGGCUGGGCUGAAGGGGGAGGAAGCUGGGAGCCCUGCACAGGGCUACUGCACACUGGGACCUGCUCCUGGUUCAGCUCUGGAGGAAAGGCAUGACCAAGGACCAGGGUAUAUACACCAGACAACAGAGCCGUUUCAUUUUGGGGGCUCGUUUGGGAUCAGAAUCAGAAUGGAAGGUAGAAACAUCAGAGUGGCUAUACGAUGUCCGGAAGUGGUGGGUUCUUGGUCUCACUGACUUCAAAAAUGAAGACGAAGACGUGGACUCUGGCGUACACAGAAAUGCUCUCCAUACCUUGCCACUGCUGCUGGGAAGGAACAGGGGAGGAGUGACAUUGAGAUUCAAGACUAUUUUUCCUACCUCUUCAGUGCCUCUUUCAGCCAUAUGAAGUUAAAACCAGGUAAUGUGAGUGCUGAUCUGAUUUCUGAUUCAUUUGAAGGUGCUUUUUCUAUGUGUAGAUAGUUGUUAAAUUGAUAUCUUUGGGGGGUGACAAGCAGUAAAGCCUUCUAUUCUGCCAUCUGGCUCUACUCCUGUCUCUCAAUAAUUGCUUAUGGAUUAGGAGCUGAGGCACAGCUUUGGUGGAUCAUUUCCUCAAAAUCUUAAACAGUUAUAAUUAAGCUGUUGGUGAGAAUUGUAGGGUCAUGUAAGGCUCAGCAUCCUCUCCCACACUCAUAGGGGGUCCUAUUAGUAGAAUUCAGCUUCUUGCAGCUGUAGGACUGAGACCCUCAGUCUCCAGAGGCUGCCCCUCUGCACAGGCAGUUCACAACAUGGCUGUUUGCUUUCAUCCUUGAACCCUGCAGGAAAGUAAUCUUUCAGUCUCUUUUAAGGGACUCCCCAGAUUAGGUCAAACCAAUGCAAAAUAAUCUGUGGUUGAAUAACUAAAAGCCAACUAAUAUGGACCUUUAUUGAAUCUCCAAAAUUUCUUCACCUUUGCAAUGUAACUUAAUCACAAGAGAGAAACACAUCAUUUUCACAGGUCUCACCCGCACUUAAUUAUGGGAGGGGAUUAUAUAUAAGGUGUAUGCCAUGGGUUAUUUUGGGACCAGCUUAGAAUUCUGUGCACAGACUGUUUUGCCAUAUACCAAAAGAUUAGCCCAGAGUCAUUUAAAUUUUUUGGGGGGUGGAUAGGGGGAAUAUCGGUGAUGGAAAGAAC